rnacentral:lncRNA from 1 species
CUGUGUGUUUUAAAGUCUCAACUUACGUUAUGUCAUUAUAAGGGGGAAAAAGUCUUCUAUUAAUUUAUUCUUCUAUAAUAUAUAGUUGCACAUAUAUAAACCAUGAAAACUAAAAAAUUAUGUUUGCUUACGUUUAUUUUUUACAGGUAAGCAUGGUUAAGCUGGAACUGGGUCGCGGUAGAGGUGGCCCGCGCGAUUAAUUAUAGACCAAAGUGGUUCACCGGACAAGAGUAUUUCAGUUAGACAUUUCAUCGAAUACAUAACAAAAGCCGAAUACAAGUAAUUAGAGCAAUGUCAAUAUAUAUGAAACUAAGUACCUUACUAC